AGCGAACGCUGGCGGCAGGCUUAACACAUGCAAGUCGAACGGGCGUAGCAAUACGUCAGUGGCAGACGGGUGAGUAACGCGUGGGAACGUACCUUUUGGUUCGGAACAACCCAGGGAAACUUGGGCUAAUACCGGAUAAGCCCUUACGGGGAAAGAUUUAUCGCCGAAAGAUCGGCCCGCGUCUGAUUAGCUAGUUGGUGUGGUAACGGCGCACCAAGGCGACGAUCAGUAGCUGGUCUGAGAGGAUGAUCAGCCACAUUGGGACUGAGACACGGCCCAAACUCCUACGGGAGGCAGCAGUGGGGAAUAUUGGACAAUGGGCGCAAGCCUGAUCCAGCCAUGCCGCGUGAAGUGAUGAAGGCCCUAGGGUUGUAAAGCUC
rnacentral:rRNA from 1 species